rnacentral:rRNA from 1 species
GCCUACGGGGGGCAGCAGUGGGGGAUAUUGCACAAUGGGGGAAACCCUGAUGCAGCGACGCCGCGUGAGUGAAGAAGUAUUUCGGUACGUAAAGCUCUAUCAGCAGGGAAGAAAAAUGACGGUACCUGACUAAGAAGCCCCGGCUAACUACGUGCCAGCAGCCGCGGUAAUACGUAGGGGGCAAGCGUUAUCCGGAUUUACUGGGUGUAAAGGGAGCGUAGACGGCAUAGCAAGUCUGAAGUGAAAGCCCGUGGCUCAACCGCGGAACUGCUUUGGAAACUGUUAAGCUGGAGUACUGGAGAGGC